rnacentral:lncRNA from 1 species
AGAACUCAGUGCUCAUGCUUGCUGUGCGCAGUUUUAAGCGUUCCUCCAUCCACAGCUAGGACUCCGAUGGGUGCAUCUGCGAUCAGUCCUUGGUGCUGCGGAGAGAGUGAAGGUCCCACCAGCAGUGACAUGACAUGAUUUGUGGCUCUGCACCUCGUUGCCCUCAUCGAAGAUAGUCAGGAGACCCUAGAAAGAUGCCAUUCACACCCUGGAGUGCUGUGGGCCAUGCAAGAGCAGCUGGACACAGGAGCAGCUUCCUGCCUAGACCCGGGCCGCUUCCCCAGAAAGAGGAACCAGCAGUGGUGGCUGGAGCGUCUGGCGGCGAUAAAAGGCAGCCUUACAGCAGGAGGCAAACGAGUAGACAGCAGACAAAUCUAUAUGAUGUAAUUCUGAUUGGAAAGAGCAGGGCAUAGCUCUUUUCCAAGGAGACUUGCUGCCACCGAUCAGCCGUGAGAGCGUGGACAAGCCAUUUCAUCUCUCUGGACCUCGGCCUCCUUAUUUGCUCAGGUGGGCUCUGGACUAGGUAGUGGGGUCUAGUGUUCCUUGCCUUUGUGGAAGAAAUGGUCAAUUUGAGGAGCAGCAGGCCAGCUUUGUGGGCGUGUGACCUGUGCAUUCACAUGGAGUCCUGUACUUAGAAGGGGCCAAGGCUUGGUUUAAUGCUCUGCUGUCACUCUCUUGAAAUUCAUAAUAUUUUUUGAGCAAAGAGCCUCACAUUCC